rnacentral:tRNA from 1 species
GCGGAUAUGGCGGAAUUGGUAGACGCGCUAGGUUCAGGUCCUAGUGCUCGCAAGGGCAUGGGGGUUCGAGUCCCUCUAUCCGCACCA